GAUAAACGCUAGCGGCAGGCUUAACACAUGCAAGUCGAGGGGCAGCAUAGAUUGUAGCAAUACAAUUGGUGGCGACCGGCGCACGGGUGCGUAACGCGUAUGCAACCUACCCGUCACAGGGGGAUAAUCCGGAGAAAUCUGGUCUAAUACCCCAUAACAUAUGGAUCGGCAUCGGUUCAUGUUGAAAUUUUCGGAGGUGACGGAUGGGCAUGCGUAGCAUUAGCUUGUUGGUGAGGUAACGGCUCACCAAGGCGACGAUGCUUAGGGGGACUGAGAGGUUUUCCCCCCACACUGGUACUGAGACACGGACCAGACUCCUGCGGGAGGCAGCAGUGAGGAAUAUUGGUCAAUGGGCGCAAGCCUGAACCAGCCAUGCCGCGUGCAGGAUGACGGCUCUAUGAGUUGUAAACUACUUUUGUACGAGGGUAAAGUGGGUUACGUGUAACCUUUUGAAAGUAUCGUACGAAUAAGGAUCGGCUAACUCCGUGCCAGCCGCCGCAGUAA
rnacentral:rRNA from 1 species